GUGCCAGCCGCCGCGGUAAUUCCAGCUCCAAUAGCGUAUAUUAAAGUUGUUGUGGUUAAAAAGCUCGUAGUUGAACCUUGGGCCUGGCUGGCCGGUCCGCCUCACCGCGUGCACUGGUCCGGCCGGGCCUUUCCCUCUGUGGAACCCCAUACCCUUCACUGGGCGUGGCGGGGAAACAGGACAUUUACUUUGAAAAAAUUAGAGUGCUCCAGGCAGGCCUAUGCUCGAAUACAUUAGCAUGGAAUAAUAAAAUAGGACGCGCGGUUCUAUUUUGUUGGUUUAUAGGACCGCCGUAAUGAUUAAUAGGGACAGUCGGGGGCAUCAGUAUUCAACUGUCAGAGGUGAAAUUCUUGGAUCAGUUGAAGACUAACUACUGCGAAAGCAUUUGCCAAGGAUGUUUUCAUUAAUCAGGAACGAAGGUUAGGGGAUCGAAGACGAUCAGAUACCGUCGUAGUCUUAACCAUAAACUAUGCCGACUAGGGAUCGGACGGUGUUAUUCAUGACCCGUUCGGCACCUUACGAGAAAUCAAAGUGCUUGGGCUCCAGGGGGAGUAUGGUCGCAAGGCUGAAACUUAAAGAAAUUGACGGAAGGGCACCACCAGGGUGGAGCCUGCGGCUUAAUUUGACUCAACACGGGGAAACUCACCAGGUCCAGACACAAUAAGGAUUGACAGAUUGAGAGCUCUUUUCUUGAUUUUGUGGUGGUGGUGCAUGGCCGUUCUU
rnacentral:rRNA from 1 species